GCGCCGAUGAUGCAAGGCGUAGCAUCGCUGCCUGGGAAGCAGAUGAUGCGGGUUCGAGUCCCGCCUGGUGCA
rnacentral:tRNA from 1 species